rnacentral:rRNA from 1 species
GACGAACGCUGGCGGCGUGCCUAAUACAUGCAAGUUGAGCGCUGAAGGUUGGUACUUGUACCAACUGGAUGAGCAGCGAACGGGUGAGUAACGCGUGGGGAAUCUGCCUUUGAGCGGGGGACAACAUUUGGAAACGAAUGCUAAUACCGCAUAAAAACUUUAAACACAAGUUUUAAGUUUGAAAGAUGCAAUUGCAUCACUCAAAGAUGAUCCCGCGUUGUAUUAGCUAGUUGGUGAGGUAAAGGCUCACCAAGGCGAUGAUACAUAGCCGACCUGAGAGGGUGAUCGGCCACAUUGGGACUGAGACACGGCCCAAACUCCUACGGGAGGCAGCAGUAGGGAAUCUUCGGCAAUGGACGAAAGUCUGACCGAGCAACGCCGCGGGAGUGAAGAAGGGUUUCGGAUCGUAAAACUCUGUUGGUAGAGAAGAACGUUGGUGAGAGUGGAAAGCUCAUCAGGUGACGGUAACUACCCAGAAAGGGACGGCUAACUACGUG